AGAGUUUGAUCCUGGCUCAGGAUGAACGCUAGCUACAGGCUUAACACAUGCAAGUCGAGGGGCAGCAUGAACUUAGCUUGCUAAGUUUGAUGGCGACCGGCGCACGGGUGAGUAACACGUAUCCAACCUGCCGAUGACUCGGGGAUAGCCUUUCGAAAGAAAGAUUAAUACCCGAUGGCAUAGUUCUUCCGCAUGGUAGAACUAUUAAAGAAUUUCGGUCAUCGAUGGGGAUGCGUUCCAUUAGGUUGUUGGCGGGGUAACGCCCACAAGCCUUCGAUGGAUAGGGGUUCAGAGAGGAAGGUCCCCACAUUGGAACUGAGACACGGUCCAAACUCCUACGGGAGGCA
rnacentral:rRNA from 1 species